CCUCUCAGUUUCUCACUUUCUCUAGCGGCUGUUUCUCUUCUUCUUCUCAGUAUUCUCACUCUCACUCAUGAUUCAUCAUUCAUGAUCUUACACCACCAAGUUACCGACGAACACAGCAACUGAACCAUGGAAGAACCUAGUCAAGACGCACAUACACCUCAAACUGGAGUUGGAUCAUCUAAUAUACCUAGUCAAUCUAUAGCUAGAGCUCAAUCUACACCUGGAGUUGGAGCUCAAUAUAUAUCUCCAAAUGAAGUUACAAUUAUAGCAUAUGAUGGAAACAAAGAGAAGUCUAAAGUUACAUCUGAGGUAUGGUUACAAUUCACAAGGGUAAGUGAAGAGAAAGCUAAAUAUCAUCAUUAUUUACGCACCUUUGCUGCUAACACGAGAAGAAAUGGAACUUCUGGAUUGUGGGGUCAUUUGGAUAGAUGCCGUAGGAACCCAAAUAAGAAGAAGAAAGGACAGAAAAGUUUGUUGUUUCCUCCCCCCAAACCAGGUCAGGAUGGUAACUUAGUUGCUUCUAUUUAUAAUCCUGAAGGGUGUAGAAGGGCUUUAGUUGAAUUUAUAAUCAAAGUUGAGUUGCCAUUUAGCAAGGUAGAAAAUUAAGGGUUUAUGGCUUAUAGUCAGAUGUUGGAACCUAGAUUCAAAGUCCCCAGCCACAUGACUAUUUAUAGGGAUCUUUGGAUAAUAUAUAGGGAUGAGAAAAUAAAAAAUUAAAGAUUAUUUUAAGGCAUCCAAAAAGAGGGUUUCUUUGACCACCGAUACAUGGACUUCAUCUAAUAAUAUUAAUUGUAUGUGUGUCACAGUUCACUAUGUUGAUCAGAAUUGGAAGUUGCAAAAGAGAAUAAUUUUAUUUUGCCAAGUGAAAGGUCAUACAGGUACUGCAAUAGGUAAGAUGUGGAGAAGUGCUUGUUAGAUUGGGGACUUGAAGAUGUGUUUGGUGUCACUCUGGAUAAUGUAAGUUGUGCUGCCCAUGUUCUUGCUUUGGUUAUAAAAGAUGUAGUGAGACUUUAUAACAAGUCGAUCGCAAGGAUCAGGUUAGUUGUCAAGUAUGUUACUAGUUCUCCUGCUAGAUGGGAUAAGUUUAAGCAUUGUUGUGCAGUAGAGAAGAUUGAUUGCAAGACAUGAAUGAUAUUAGACGUCAAGACAGAUGGAAUAGCACAUAUUUGAUGUUAGAGGCUGCUGAAAAAUAUGAAAGAGCUUUCAAAAGGUUAGAAAAGUAUGAUAGAGACUAUAGGAACAAGUACAUUUUUGAAGAACUUGAGUCUGUUGCUUUACCUAGUCAUGAUGAUCUUCUUGUGCUAGCUAAUUCCAUGGAAGAGUUAACUUUCAGUUAUUCAUCCAUGAACAGUUGGUUCAGUUUAGAGAUAUUGUGGCUGACUCUUUUGUUAGAAAUAUGGUUGAAAUUAUGUUUGCUAAAUAUAAUAAGUAUUGGGGUGCUUAUGAAGAUAUAAAUUCUGCUUUAUUCUUUGCACAAUUGUUGGAUCCACGAGAGAAAGAGAAGCGGUUGGAAUUUACUCUUGAGUGUUUGUACGAGAAAAAUCAGGACACAGUUGAUAGAGUUAUGAAAAAGGUUAAAGAAGAUAUGGUCAGACUCUUUGAAGAGUAUAAGUCUUCGUAUGCAGUUGUUGGUGAAAGUUCAACUAGUGGAGUUGCUGUAGUUCAAGCUCCAGUUGUUGCGCAAGAACAAAGCAUUGAGGCCAUGCUUGACUCAAGGAAUAAAAGGCAUAAAAGGAACCAAUUUGGUGUUGAAGAAUUAAAUAAGUUGGAGGAGUAUUUGUUAUAGGAAUUUGACGAAGAAGAAGGUGGAACUGAUUUUGAAAUUUUGGCUUGGUGGCGAAGGAUAUACUAGCCAUGCCGGUGUCUUCUGUUGCUUAUGAAUAAGCAUUCAGUACUGGAAAACGUGUGAUUAGUGCAUGGAGAAGAUCUUUAUCUCCUAGGACAUUUGAAGCAUUGCUAUACACACAAAGCUGGCUAGAAAAUCCUAUUGUUCUUGAUCUUAUAUCGGAGUAUAUACCAGAUGAUUGCUCAAGCAUUGAGGAAGUACCAGAGGAGUUUGAUGAUCCAAUGAUGCUUGAUUAAUGAUUGUUGAAGUUCAUAUCUUGAUGCAGACAUGGAAAGGAACUAUGGAAGUGUUGGUUUUAACACUUUAUGUUAAUCUUUGAACAUCUCAAUAUUUUACUUCGGUUAUGUUAUGUACUUAUGUUAGUUAAAGUCUUGAAGAACUUAAGUAGUUGGCUAGUUUCUGUAACUUUGAACAAUCUUUAUCAGUUUAUGUCAGAUUCAAAAAUCAGUAACUUUGUUGUUGUUUUUU